UCCUACGGGAGGCAGCAGUGGGGAAUAUUGGACAAUGGGGGAAAGCCUGAUCCAGCCAUGCCGCGUGUGUGAAGAAGGUCUUCGGAUUGUAAAGCACUUUAAGUGGGAGGAAGGGCAGUAAGUUAAUACCUUGCUGUUUGACGUACCGACAG
rnacentral:rRNA from 1 species